rnacentral:rRNA from 1 species
UACGUUCCCGGGCCUUGUACACACCGCCCGUCAAGUCACGAAAGUCGGUAACACCCGAAGCCGGUGGCCCAACCCUUGUGGAGGGAGCCGUCGAAGGUGGGACUGGCGAUUGGGGCU